rnacentral:rRNA from 1 species
AACGAACGCUGGCGGCAUGCCUAACACAUGCAAGUCGAACGAGACCUUCGGGUCUAGUGGCGCACGGGUGCGUAACGCGUGGGAACCUGCCCUUAGGUUCGGAAUAACUCCCUGAAAGGGGUGCUAAUACCGGAUAAUGUCUUCGGACCAAAGAUUUAUCGCCUUUGGAUGGGCCCGCGUUGGAUUAGCUAGUUGGUAGGGUAAAAGCCUACCAAGGCGACGAUCCAUAGCUGGUCUGAGAGGAUGAUCAGCCACACUGGGACUGAGACACGGCCCAGACUCCUACGGGAGGCAGCAGUGGGGAAUAUUAGGCAAUGGGCGAAAGCCUGAUCCAGCAAUGCCGCGUGAGUGAUGAAGGCCUUAGGAUUGUAAAGCUCUUUUACCCGGGAUGAUAAUGACAGUACCGGGAGAAUAAGCUCCGGCUAACUCCGUG